GACGAACGCUGGCGGCGUGCUUAACACAUGCAAGUCGAACGAAGUGGCGAACGGGUGAGUAACGCGUAAUCAACCUGCCCUUCCGAGGGGGAAAACAGUUGGAAACGACUGCUAAUACCGCAUACUGAAGGAGGGGAUUGCGUCUGAUUGGCUAGUUGGAGGGGUAACGGCCCCACAGGGCGAUGAGCAGUAGCCGGUCUGGGAGGAGGACUGGCCAACUGGGGACUGUGACACGGCCCCGCCUCCCACGGGAGGCAGCAGUGGGGAAUCGGCCGCAAUUGACGAAAGUCUGACGGCGCAACGCCGCGUGAGGGAUGACGGCCUUCGGGUUGUAAAGCUCUGUUAAUCGGGACGCGGUACCGGAAUAGAAAGCCACGGCUAACUACGUGCCAGCAGCCGCGGUAAUUC
rnacentral:rRNA from 1 species